AAUACCAGCAAUAAAUUUCGUCAUCAAAUGGGAGGCCGUCAAAACGUCAUCGCACUCUUCCGGGAUUAGAGCACAAAUUUGGCAAGCAAAAGGCAAUCGCACGUUUAGCUUCAGGUUCAAGUGAAUCGAAAUUCGAGAAUCAACGGAUACACUGAGAUAAUCGCACGUCACUGGUGAAGUGAACGUGUCACAAGUAAAUCGGAAUCAACGGAACUUACAACAACUCAAAGACAAUCGCGCACACUGCACGGAGUGAACUUUCCUCCAACUGAAGCAGGAUCUAUUUGUUGCAAUCAUUAGGCUUGCAAACGAAGACAGCCGAACAGAAAACGCUCGUUCGAAAUUGGCUCGUUCAAAACCUAAGGUGGCCCCGUAAAGGGGUUCUUUUGCUCAAUUUUGAUUCCGGCUCAGGAGGUGUUCACGUGAACACGCGAGGACGAGAGAAGCUUUCCAGCGAAUUGAGGAGUCCCUCUGGAUAGCGAACGGGAAAGCGGACUGCGCAAAGACACAUGGAACGGCCUCCCGGACACCAAACAUAGUAGCACUGCUGUGA